rnacentral:lncRNA from 1 species
GGAGUUGCUGAGGGGUAUCUGUAAAGGAGGCAGAAGGAGCCUGGGUCUCAGACCCCUACAUUCUCUCCUCAGUUUGAUCAUAGUUGUAGGAUUCUUCAAGACUUCAUCUGGAGUUUUCUUGGCAAAGAACUGCAGGAACAGAAUAACCAAAGGAGGAAUGAGGAGCCAAGAAGGCCAAGAUGGCAGCCAGGCCCUGGGGCAGAGAAGCCAAGCAUUCAUCUUCAGGGAGAUCUGUAGAUUGAUAUGGGAUGUUAGAGUUCUCAGUUUAUUAUGGAAUUAUCCCUCCCCACCCCAUAUUCCUCACCAAUCCAG